UGGGGAAUUUUCCGCAAUGGGCGAAAGCCUGACGGAGCAAUACCGCGUGAGGGAGGAAGGCUCUUGGGUCGUAAACCUCUUUUCUCAGGGAAGAAGCAAUGACGGUACCUGAGGAAUCAGCAUCGGCUAACUCCGUGCCAGCAGCCGCGGUAAUACGGAGGAUGCAAGCGUUAUCCGGAAUGAUUGGGCGUAAAGCGUCCGCAGGUGGCACAUCAAGUCUGCUGUCAAAGCCCCCAGCUUAACUGGGAAGAGGCGGUGGAAACUGGUGAGCUAGAGAGCAAUAGGGGUAGAGGGAAUUCCCGGUGUAGCGGUGAAAUGCGUAGAGAUCGGGAAGAACACCAGUGGCGAAAGCGCUCUACUAGGUUGCAACUGACACUGAGGGACGAAAGCUAGGGGAGCGAAUGGG
rnacentral:rRNA from 1 species